rnacentral:rRNA from 1 species
UGGGGAAUAUUGGACAAUGGGCGAAAGCCUGAUCCAGCCAUGCCGCGUGAGUGACGAAGGCCUUAGGGUUGUAAAACUCUUUCGUCGGGGACGAUAAUGACGGUACCCGAAGAAGAAGCUCCGGCUAACUUCGUGCCAGCAGCCGCGGUAAUACGAAGGGAGCUAGCGUUGUUCGGAAUCACUGGGCGUAGAGCGCACGUAGGCGGAUAGUUAAGUCAGGGGUGAAAUCCUGGGGCUCAACCCCAGAACUGCCUUUGAUACUGGCUGUCUCGAGGUCGAGAGAGGCUGGUGGAAUUCCUAGUGUAGAGGUGAAAUUCGUAGAUAUUAGGAAGGACACCAGUGGCGAAGGCGGCCAACUGGCUCGAUACUGACGCUGAGGUGCGAAAGCGUGGGGAGCAAACAGGAUUAGAUACCCAGGUAGUCCCUGAGCGGGCUGGCAAGGCGCAU